rnacentral:rRNA from 1 species
AUUGAACGCUGGCGGCGUGCCUUACACAUGCAAGUCGAACGGCAGCACGGGAGCAAUCCUGGUGGCGAGUGGCGAACGGGUGAGUAAUAUAUCGGAACGUGCCCAGUCGUGGGGAUAACGUAGCGAAAGCUACGCUAAUACCGCAUACGAUCUAUGGAUGAAAGCGGGGGAUCGCAAGACCUCGCGCGAUUGGAGCGGCCGAUAUCAGAUUAGGUAGUUGGUGAGGUAAAGGCUCACCAAGCCGACGAUCUGUAGCUGGUCCUGAGAGGACGACAGCCACACUGGGACUGAGACACGGCCCAGACUCCUACGGAGGCAGCAGUGGGGAAUUUUUGGGACAAUGGGCGCAAGCCUGAUCCAGCAAUGCCGCGUGCAGGAUGAAGGCCUUC